AACGAACGCUGGCGGCAUGCCUAACACAUGCAAGUCGAACGAAGCCUUCGGGCUUAGUGGCGCACGGGUGCGUAACGCGUGGGAAUCUGCCCUUGGGUUCGGAAUAACAGUUAGAAAUGACUGCUAAUACCGAAUGAUGUCUUCGGACCAAAGAUUUAUCGCCCAAGGAUGAGCCCGCGUCGGAUUAGCUAGUUGGUGAGGUAAAGGCUCACCAAGGCGACGAUCCGUAGCUGGUCUGAGAGGAUGAUCAGCCACACUGGGACUGAGACACGGCCCAGACUCCUACGGGAGGCAGCAGUGGGGAAUAUUGGACAAUGGCGGAAAGACCGUCGAUCCAGCAAUAGCCGCCGUGAGUGAUGAAGG
rnacentral:rRNA from 1 species